GAUACUGCGACAGUAAUCCAACUUAGUACGAGAGGAACAGUUGGUUCAGAUACUUGGUUAAUGCGNCCGCGACGCUACCAUCUGUUGGAUUAUGACUGAACGCCUCUAAGUCAGAAUCCAUGCUGGCUAAGCAGUGCUUCUCUUCGCCUCACUUGUUACUUGCAUCUUUUUUUAGCGCUUCGCGCGCAACAUCUCACCCACGUAGCGCAGCAGAUAGGGACGAAAAUGCCUACCGCAAUGGGGACAGCUUCAAAAUGCGCUGGCGAGCAGACUGGCUUCAGCUGUACGGCGGAGCCA
rnacentral:ncRNA from 1 species